GUGGAGCAAGGAAAAAAAAAUACCCACAAAAUAGUGAAAAAAGAGGGGAGAGAUUUGACUUGUAUUGUAGAAGCGAGGAUAAAUUACACAUUACUAUUUAUGUAUAAGAAAUGUCACAAAAAAAAAAAAAAGAGAUUUGACUUUUGCAAUGAAAAAGCAAGAAAAUUGAGAAAAUAGACUUUAUCCUUUAUACUUUAGCUUUCCAUUACCCGUCUUUUUAUAUCUUGUUACCCUUAAUUUUAAGGAUAGAGUGUCACAUAUUUGUAUUUAUUUAAUAUAUAUUAUUAAAAAUAAAAUAGUUAUAAAAAAAAUAAAAAUUUGUAAUUAAAAAAAUUAAGAAACAGAAAAGAUAAUAUAAAAUAAAUGUAAAAAAAAAAAAUUGUGUGUCACAAUUUGAACUAAAGAACAAGCAUUUCCUUAAGGAUG
rnacentral:lncRNA from 1 species